rnacentral:tRNA from 1 species
CCCCUGGUGGUCCAGUGGUUAAGACUCUGGACUUCCAGUGCCGGGGACACAGGUUCAAUCCCUGGUCAGGGAA